GUGCACUGCUAAGUGUCUAGAUUGUCUUCUUCGUGACAUUCUGGUCUCAUUCCAGUGCAAGAUUAACUCCCUUCUAGCAGAAGGGCCAGGCCUCUUUCCAAAAGUCUGGUCCUUUCGAAGGCUGGGAACAAUA
ensembl:snoRNA small nucleolar RNA SNORA35